GAUGCUCAACACACCAGCAAAUGACAUCUCACCGGAAGUUAUCGAGCUGGCUUAUAUUAGUGUUGCGCAUGCUCACUGAAGUCUGAGUUCAAAAAACAACAACUGAAGGCGCAAUGGCGAUCUAAUGUCUGACUCAGCGAAAAGGAGGAUUUGGAUGAAUGGAUGUGGAUGUUUUACAAGAAACCUCAUCAGUGGGACAAUAACUCAAUUAUGAUUUGUGAGUUUUGUGGAAACGUAAAGUGUGUGGAAGAAGCAUCACAGAAGUAUCCAAUAUGUUUAAAGGUGCCCUCGAAUGAAAAAUUGAAUUUAUCUUGCCAUAGUUAAAUAACAAGAGUUCAGUACAUGGAAAUGACAUACAGUGAGUCUCAAACUCCAUUGUUUCCUCCUUCU